GCGUCAUUUAAACCUUCAAGCCUAGCUUGGUGUUGGGUGUUUGUUCCGCCCCCGCGCGUGGACUCGCCUUAAAUUCAUUGGCAGCCGGUAUGUUGGCUUCGUGCGCAGCACAUUGCGUUAGCGAUCCAACAAUGCCCUCUUCCAUAAGCUUACCUUUUAAGUUUGACCUCGGAUCAGGUAGGGAUACCCGCUGAACUUAA
rnacentral:misc_RNA from 1 species